CCCACAAACUUCACCCACAGCAACCAUGACUUUGGUCUCCAUCUUCAUCUGGACUCUCACCCUCUGGGCUCAAGGAUCCAGUGGUCAGGUGACUGUAACUCAGACUCCUUCAGUGAAAAUUGUUUCUCCAGGAGAUUCACUUACCAUCAGCUGUAGAAUCAGCACUGCAGUAUAUAAGGAUGAUUAUUUAUCCUGGUAUCAGCAGAAACCUGGAGAAGCUCCUAAACCCCUGAUCUACAGGGCUACCAGUAAACAGUCAGGUGUUCCAGCUCGUUUCAGUGGCAGUGGAUCUGGAACUGACUUCACUCUGACCAUCAGUAAUGUCCAGAUUGAAGAUGUAGGAGAUUAUUACUGUCAGAGUGUACACAGGAUCAGUGGUAGCUGGGUGAUCACACAGUGUUUAGUAGGUGUACAAAAACCCCCCUCAGUCCAGCUGCACAGAGACUGCACUGCUGCAGCUGGACUCUACUGCAGGUGCUGA